rnacentral:rRNA from 1 species
UACGUAGGGUCCGAGCGUUGUCCGGAGUUACUGGGCGUAAAGCGCACGUAGGCGGCUUUCUAAGUCAGGGGUGAAAUCCUGGAGCUCAACUCCAGAACUGCCUUUGAUACUGGGAGCUCGAGUCCGGAAGAGGUGAGUGGAACUCCGAGUGUAGAGGUGAAAUUCGUAGAUAUUCGGAAGAACACCAGUGGCGAAGGCGGCUCACUGGUCCGGUACUGACGCUGAGGUGCGAAAGCGUGGGGAGCAAACAGGG